AGAGUUUGAUCCUGGCUCAGAUUGAACGCUGGCGGCAGGCCUAACACAUGCAAGUCGAGCGGAAACGAGUUAACUGAACCUUCGGGGAACGUUAAUGGCGUCGAGCGGCGGACGGGUGAGUAAUGCCUGGGAAAUUGCCCUGAUGUGGGGGAUAACCAUUGGAAACGAUGGCUAAUACCGCAUAAUAGCUUCGGCUCAAAGAGGGGGACCUUCGGGCCUCUCGCGUCAGGAUAUGCCCAGGUGGGAUUAGCUAGUUGGUGAGGUAAUGGCUCACCAAGGCGACGAUCCCUAGCUGGUCUGAGAGGAUGAUCAGCCACACUAGAACUGAGACACGGUCCAGACUCCUACGGGAGGCAGCAGUGGGGAAUAUUGCACAAUGGGCGCAAGCCUGAUGCAGCCAUGCCGCGUGUAUGAAGAAGGCCUUCGGGUUGUAAAGUACUUUCAGCAGUGAGGAAGGUGGCAGUGUUAAUAGCACUAUCAUUUGACGUUAGCUGCAGAAGAAGCACCGGCUAACUCCGUGCCAGCAGCCGCGGUAAUACGGAGGGUGCGAGCGUUAAUCGGAAUUACUGGGCGUAAAGCGCAUGCAGGUGGUUUGUUAAGUCAGAUGUGAAAGCCCGGGGCUCAACCUCGGAAUUGCAUUUGAAACUGGCAGACUAGAGUACUGUAGAGGGGGGUAGAAUUUCAGGUGUAGCGGUGAAAUGCGUAGAGAUCUGAAGGAAUACCGGUGGCGAAGGCGGCCCCCUGGACAGAUACUGACACUCAGAUGCGAAAGCGUGGGGAGCAAACAGGAUUAGAUACCCUGGUAGUCCACGCCGUAAACGAUGUCUACUUGGAGGUUGUGGCCUUGAGCCGUGGCUUUCGGAGCUAACGCGUUAAGUAGACCGCCUGGGGAGUACGGUCGCAAGAUUAAAACUCAAAUGAAUUGACGGGGGCCCGCACAAGCGGUGAAGCAUGUGGUUUAAUUCGAUGCAACGCGAAGAACCUUACCUACUCUUGACAUCCAGAGAACUUUCCAGAGAUGGAUUGGUGCCUUCGGGAACUCUGAGACAGGUGCUGCAUGGCUGUCGUCAGCUCGUGUUGUGAAAUGUUGGGUUAAGUCCCGCAACGAAGGCAACCCUUAUCCUUGUUUGCCAGCCCUUCGGGUGGGAACUCCAGGGGAACUUGCCGGUGAUAAACCGGAGGAAGGGGGGGACAAAUUCAAGUCUUCAUGGGCCCUUACGAGAAGGGGUACAACCGGGUUACAAUGGCCCAUACAAGAGGGAGCCAAUUUUGCAGAGUGGAGGGAUCUCCAAAAGG
rnacentral:rRNA from 1 species